GGUGAACGCUGGCGGCGUGCUUAAGACAUGCAAGUCGAACGGGCUCUUCGGAGCCAGUGGCGCACGGGUGAGUAACGCGUAACUGACCUACCCCAAAGUCGCGGAUAACGAUUCGAAAGAAUCGCUAAUACGUGAUGUGCCGUCAGAUCCUGUUCUGCCAGUAAAGAUUUAUUGCUUUGGGAUGGGGUUGCGUUCCAUCAGCUAGUUGGUGGGGUAAAGGCCCACUAAGGCGACGACGGAUCGCCGGCCUGAGAGGGUGGCCGGCCACAGGGGCACUGAGACACGGGUCCCACUCCUACGGGAGGCAGCAGUUAGGAAUCUUCCACAAUGGGCGAAAGCCUGAUGGAGCGACGCCGCGUGAGGGAUGAAGGUCCUCGGAUCGUAAACCUCUGAAUCAGGGACGAAAGACGCGAAGGCGGGAUGACGGUACCUGAGUAAUAGCACCGGCUAACUCCGUG
rnacentral:rRNA from 1 species